CAAACACUAACAGCCGCUGACCUACUAUCGCCAUGCGCAUGCUGGUAUGCCAGAAAUCACUGACCAUACUAACUAACACAAUAACUGCGCUCUUUGUUGUUAACUUAGUUAAAUUGCAUUUAACUGCAUUUAACAACUGUAUCGCUUGUGGAUAAUGGGUGCCUGGGUCAUCCAGGGGCUUCCACUUCCAAAGCCAGCCCCCAGACAAACAUACCACUCUCAUGGCUUGCAGUUCCCUGCAACCCAGCCAUGAGCCCCCACACCAUGCCAAAGGGACCUCCGAACUGACGACCAGUCAGGUUGGAGAAUUUGGGGCUCAUGGUUGGAGGACACCAGAGCCCCAUCGCAUGAUCCAAACCCAAACAAAAUUACCCCUGCUUGUUAACUGGGGAGUGACCUAAUAUUUUGUCAACACAAAUACACCAUUACAGCCCAACUGGUUACUUUAAUUAAACACUAUUGAUAUACCAGCCACCAUAAGGCUACUAACAUACUUGCCCAACUGGUUACCUUAAGAACCCUUGACACACUAGCACCCAUAGGGGUACUAUAUUAAUACGCAACUGGUUACCUUAAAAACCAUUGAUACACUAGCAACAAUAAGGCUACUAUAUUACUACGCCA
rnacentral:lncRNA from 1 species